rnacentral:rRNA from 1 species
UACGUAGGGUGCGAGCGUUAAUCGGAAUUACUGGGCGUAAAGCGUGCGCAGGCGGUUUUGUAAGCCAGAUGUGAAAUCCCCGGGCUUAACCUGGGAAUGGCAUUUGGGACUGCAAAGCUUGAGUGCGGCAGAGGGGACUGGAAUUCCUGGUGUAGCAGUGAAAUGCGUAGAGAUCAGGAGGAAUACCGAUGGCGAAGGCAGGUCCCUGGGCUGACACUGACGCUCAUGCACGAAAGCGUGGGGAGCAAACAGG